GUCUAUGGCCAUGCCACCCUGAACACGCCCGAUCUUGUCUGAAGCUAAGCAGGGUCGGGCCUGGUUAGUACUUGGAUGGGAGAAAAGGAGGUGACUAUACCCA
rnacentral:rRNA from 1 species